CAUGCCUUGCCUGCUGAUCUACGGUCAUCACCUACGGACCGUGAUUGGACCUACGGUCCAUAGAUCACCUUCGUGAAUGCCUUUCUUCUACAUUUAUUUCAGCUGUCUCUACACUUCCGCGCCUGAACGUCUUUCCUGCAAAACAUGAUAAAAACACAUCAAAACCAAUAUAAAAGGGCCUUAGACACACAUAACUUGUAAGUGAAACGUAUUAGAAAUACCGUAAACUCACGGUAUAUCAAUAAACUUUCUCUCGAACAAUUUACUCCGAAUCAAAUUGGUUUCUCUCAAACACCAACAAACAGCAAUUAAGAACAGCGUACGCUUUAGUCCAUUUAUUUUCUCAAGCUGAAUGUGUGGAAAAGGGUUUGAGAUUCACUCUCUCAAGCUGAACCCAUGACAACCCAAUACCCACAUACCUUCAAAUUAGUAAUCUUGGUUUUAAAACCUCUCUCUCGAGCAAGCCAAAACACGAAGGUAGAAUUGCAUUUGCAACUACAACCCUUUAAAUUAAACCACAAUUAUUGAUUGAAAUCACUUUUAAACAACAUUUAAACUAUCAAUUAACAAUAUCCAUAAGCUAAAUCAUCCCAUAAUCACAUAAUUGGGGUUUUAGCUAGACAUCCUAAAAAAAUAGAAAUCGUUACCAAAUUAUAUUUCCAUCAACUGGGUAAGAUUAAUUUCGUCUUUACAAAGGUCUAAAUUGAAGAAUCUCAAAGACCCACUUCCAAUUUCUCAAAAAUGGAAAACUUCAAUUCUUCAAAGCUAAGGAAAAUAUUGUCUCCAAAUUCAGAGUUCUCUCUCCAAAACUGAUAAGAAAUUCUAUAUUAUGAAAACUUGAUCCUAUAUAAUGAAAACUGAUACUAAACUAAGAAUUCAAAAAUGUAUUAUAGUCGCCAAAAAUAUGUUGCGACGGACCAUUCGGCGCAGUAAGUCGGGAUCGUCGAUCAACUCAGCGAUCUGCCCUUUGGUCAGUUCCAUCACCUUUCUUCUUUGGCCUUCAGUAUUCUCAAUUUCUGUAACUUUGGGCGAUCCAACACUGCAUCGCGAAACCGUUCGGCGACACACCGACUGCUCUUUUCUCUCGCCGACUUAAUUUUCUACUUCAGGGCUUGACAUACUAGAACUUUAGGCGAGAUAAUGGCUACUCGGCGACUAACCCAAUGGAUUCGGCGAACAUCACGCCUUCUUUUCUUCCUUCUUUCAGCUGCCUUGUUCCUUUAUGCCCAUUAGUGUCCAUGCUUUGUUCCUCCAUCCAAAUACCUGGAAAACAAGGAUUUUACAUGAGUUAUUGGCACAAAAUAAGCAUUUGAGGACACUAAAUCUAUCCAAAUAAAGCCCUAAAUGAGUACAAAACGUGGACUCAUCAACACCCCCAACUUAAACUUUUGCUUGUCCUCUAGUAAAACUCAAGUUCAACAGUUCAAAAAGGAUGUCUCAAACAGUGCUACACAAGACUCAAUCAUGAAUGCACACAAAAGACUCAACCUACUCAUGCAAGGAUCAAUUGUGCACUCAAAGAUUCAAGUUGUGACUCACCAUUAUCAAAGAUUCUCAAGUUCACAAUACUUGCUUCAAAUGCAAGUUCAAGCUCAACAAAAGUACUCAAAUGCCCUCACACAAAGAAUGAUUCCAUAUUCACACACAAUGGUUCAACAAUUUAUAUCUCCGGAAUCACAAUCAACACACUACUAAAAAAAUAGUGUUUAACAACGGAUAAAAUUCGUCGCAAAUAGACAUAUAUCCAUCACUAAACUGUAUUUGCGGCGGAUUAGCAAUGAAAUGUUGACCGUUAUAAUUUUGCUCGUAGCUAACCCCUUAGCAAUGGAAAAAUUGAUUCCGUAGCAAGAUUAGUGACGAUCUAGCGACAUACGAUAUCCGUAGUAAAAUGGUAGCGACAGAAAGUUUUGUCGCUAGAUUUAUAAAUUUCGUUGCAAAUUACAUAAAUGAAUUCGUCGUCCUAUAAUUUUACGAUGAAAUAAUUUAUCGCUAAUCCGUUGCAAACUUUUGGCAACCAAUUAUUAUUUGUCGCAAUCCAUCACCAAUUUUAAUUCUUUAACUAUUUCCAAAAUCCGUCGCAAUAUUCCGUCAUUAAAUUUGUCACAGGAAUGAUUCUUUCUAUUCAUUUUAUUUAUUUAUUUAAAAUAUAUAGAAAAUGUAAAUUAUUAAACAUCCUAAUAAUUACAAAUAUUCAUAUAACAUAAAUGUUACUUCAUAUAUAACUUAUGCACCAAAACAUAUAUUCAUCUAAUAUUAAGUCCAAAACAUCUACACCAAGUAUCAAGCAUCUAGCGAUUACUAAUGUUUAGAACUCGUAAUUGUUACUGCAUAAUUUGUUUUCCUUUAACAAAAAACAGACAUGAAAAACUAAUGCUAGGGAGAAGAAAUGUGGUCAUCAUCUGAAACAACCUUAUUAGGCACCAUAGGUGUUGCUGAUGAUGCGUCACCAAUAGGAGUAUCAGCUGAUUGAUGUGAUGGUAAAUAAGUUACACCUUCUAUGCGCUCAAGUAAUAUAGGAAUCAUGUGAUCAGUCAAUGUAGGAAUCAUGUGAUCAGUCAAUGUAGGAAUCAAUUUUUUCACGAACUCAUCCAUAUUUUCCAUCAGUGCAGAUUGAGAAACAGAUGGUGGUACUAAUGAUGAAGCAUCAAAUUGAGAAGAGAUACAAAGAAUUGGUCCGUAGUAACUUUUUGCUUGAGAUCCAAGACCAUAUAUUCUUCUCUUCUUUUCUCCACCUGCAGCUUGAUAAUAUGCGUCACGUUGAUCAAUAUCGACUCAAUUUUCUCACGUAAUAUUUUUUCAUAUCUUUCCUGCAAUAAGUAGAGACAUUAAAAUUAUAAUAAAGAAUACUAACUAUCAGUUUCACCAAAUAAAAAGAAUAUGAAUGUCAAAAGUCGAUAAUUUUAUAAAUUCUACUUACAUGAACAAUUCGUGCUCGCUCAUCAACAAAAUUUUUUCCAUCAUGACCAUGUGUGUGGACGUGCAAAUGGAGCUCACUUGGUGUUGGGUCUUGACCCUUUUCAAUAGCCUACCCAAAUUUUUUUUUAGCCCAGUUAUGUUAUGAAUAAUAUGAUAUAAUUAUGUAAAGUAUUUCAAUAAACACAAAAAAUUUAUUUGAUUUCAGUGAGGAACCCACAAUUGAGGCUUCCCCUAUGGCAGAAAUGAUGCUAACAAUUCAAUUCGUGCCUCUAAAGAUGAAGUAGCCAACAUUGGUAAGAAUUGAGAUAUCUUUCAUAACGUUCUUAUGCAAGAUUCAGAUUCCAAAAUCGAUGACACGGGGCCAAAAACUGUCCAGAAAUAGUACUUGGUGAGAAAGAAAGAGAUUCAGAUUCAGAUUCAAAAAUCAAGUUCUAUAAUAAGAAGUUAUUCAUAUUCAAUCUAUUGCAUUCAUUGUCACAAGACAAUAUGAAAUAUUAAGCUCCCUUCUUUUAUAAGCAAGACCCAUUAAGGCUCUUACAAUAAAAAAUAGAUUCUAAGGCAACUAACUGUUAUAAGCUUGUAGAGGUAGUACUGGUGAAAAUUUUCUGAACAAUUAAUAUGUACCUAUACUCAUGUGUUGGAUAUUUUUCAUUAAGCCGAGAAUUUAUCGGAAACAAUCUCUUAUCUCAGAAAGGUAUAAAUAAAGUCUACAUACAUCCUACUCUCUCUUAAUUUUACUAUAUUACGUGCUAGCACUAGCCAAAUAUCCAGGAAGAAUAUAUCUCCAUUUUCUUAUGCCAUCUUUGUAGAGUUCACAUCUUUGUACACAUUCAGGCAAAGCUUUUACAUGUAAAGUUCAAAUCUAUCCAUUUUUCCCAAUAACUUUUUAUUUUCUCUAACCAACUAUUAUAAUGUGGGGCUUUCAUUUUUAAGUUUUUCCAGUCAACAUACAGUUCUAGCUAAAGACAUCCAUCACCCUAUACAAUAGGCAAAAGUAUAUGUCAAUUUAUCUAUUCGAUUUUGUUCGCUUUAUGUCCAAAUUUACUAUUAGAGAGAAUACAUUUAAGAGUUUGAAAAUCGAAAGUGUCAUCAACAACAAUUGUAUGUUGCACCCAAAACAGAUGCACUGCAACAACAAUCCCAAAACAUAAUUGAACAAAAAAAAGAGGCACUUCUACUAUUUGUGUACUAUAGACUUUUAGUAAUGACUAGAAGAUAAGGAAAAUGUAUUUUGUCGAAGAAUAUAUAUUGCGUGAAAUAUAUACUUACAAGUUUCUUACGAUGUUACCCAAUGGAGAUAGAUCCACCUGUAUGAGUUCCGAAAACAACUUAUCUUCCUCCACGAUGAUUUUUUUAUUUGUUUCUGACUUUGUAACAUUCUCAGGAGCUUGCCAAAGCCUCAUCCAAUUUUCCCACACAAUAUCAGUUACAUAUCCGGGAUUAGUUUCGUUCUUUUUAUUCUGGAAAUAAAAUCUCUAUAUCGUAGUGAUGCCUUAAUCUCCCAUUGUCUUUUCACUGCAUUUUCAUUAGUUGAAGAGUCCCAAUAGAAUUCCUUCUGAAAUUAGUUUGUAAAGUAAUAACAUUAAUAUCAUAUCUAUAAAAAGUUUAUCACUUUCUUAAACUCAAUUAUAAUGAAACAACAUACCUUGAACUCUCCAAAAUAAAAAUCUUUUACAGGUUGCGAGACACCUAUCCAAUUGAUUCCAUUGGAAUCAAGUUCAUUUUUGAAAGACUUAGCUAUGAAAGUAGAGCAUUUCGAAGAAGGCUCCAAUCUUUAUAAAUUUGAGGACAUUAUUUAAAUACAUAUGUAUCUUAUUAAAAAAAUAUAUAUUAAUGAUACUAUAAACAUGGACUAACCCUGUAGGAGUAAGAAUAACAACUGUUCUCCGCUACCCACGAUUAUUGGACUCACCUUCACCAAUUGUGUUGUUUGAGUAGAUGUACCCUCUCAUAUUUGAUUACUCUCAUUAGGUGUAAUAGGAGAUGAUUCAACAAUGGUUGGAAUAUUAUUGUCAUUUGUCAUUUGAACGGGUGGUGUACUGCUAGGUCCUAGUAUUUGAACUUGGUUUGUACGAUUAGGCCUACCUAUAUUGGAACUUGUACCACCUUGUUGAGGACUAACUGUUGUGGGAAUAGGAACAAUAGGCAUUUUUGGAGGAAUAAUAGAAUUACCGCGACCUGAGGAUUUUCCUUCACGACCUGCACUACCUCGACCUCUGCCUCGAGUCAUAUCUUCAAAAUAUGUAAGCAUUGUAAGAUCAACACUUGUAAAAGAUCAAUUAUUUUUUAAUAAAGUUCAUCAGUAUGCCCAAAUGUUACUAAACAAUCUUUUCGAAGUAAAAUUUUACAAAUAUAAAGUCAAAAUAGAGGGAGGAAAACUAUAAUCAACUAAAUAAAUGCAACUAAAAAACAAGACUAGCAGAUAUCAUUGCAGCUACUUCAGCACGUCUAAGAAGUGAAGAAAGUAGAAAAGAGCACGAGAAGAAAGAGUAACUCAUCCCACGAUAGUGAAGCUGAAUACGUAAUAGUAAAGAAAACAAAAAAGAAAAAGUUAUCAAAAACUUACCUUACUAGUUGCAGCAGUCGAAGAGAAGAGGAAACCAUCUGUACAUAACCCCAAUCUUGCAUUUCUUGGUUCAUUGGCAAAAAAGGUAUGAGUUUCAUUGAAGUGUUUCUAAGAGUCUAAUGGAUGAUGCAUUACCCCUUCCUCCUGUGUAUGCUCAUGAUGCCAUCUCAUGUUAGUAGCUGUAGCAUGAGAUGCAUAUAAUCUUUUCAAUCUAGGAAUCAAAGGAAAAUAAUACAUUUUCUUUUAAGGGACCGAUUUCCUCUUACGAGAGCCUACACGCCGUUUAUACCUCUAAUUUCCACAAAAUUUACAAGAUGUAAGGUUCUCAUCAUCAUCUCAAUAUAACAUACAUCCUGAUUCACAACAAUCAAUCUUCUCAACUGGCAAACCCAAGCUACGCACCAACUUCUUUGUUUGAUAAUAGUUAUCAAGCACUAUGUUAUCUUCAGGUAAAGAAUCUUUCAACAGUUGUAUCAUUUCGUUUUAACCUCUCUGUGACAUGUUGUUCUCCAUUUUAAUGUUUAACAUCCUAGAGACAACUUCAAGUUGAGAGACCGAGGAACCGGGAUACAAUUUUGCAUCAGCAGCCUGUAGUAAAUCAUAAAAUCUUUGAGACUCAAGAUUAGGCUCCUCCUCCAUUGGAAGAUCAGACGCCUCCUCUAUUGAAGGAUUGAUCUCCUCCUCCAUUGAAGUUUCAUAAGUAUGAGAUGAAUCAUGUCCAAUAUUGCUAUGAAAUUAUCGACUCAAACCUUGAUCAAAGUUUGGACCAGCUACAUCCAAAACCAUUUGUCGGUACGGAUUAUCAUAUCCCAAUUCAGGUUGAGUUCCACCAUGCAAAUCAUUAACAUAAUACAUCUCAUCAAUAACAUCUUCUUCCCCUUGAUAUUUCCAAACAAAAUAGUUCUCAACAAAUCCGUAUUGAAAAAGGUGAUAUUUAACCAUUUCAACAUCCAUGUAUUUAAGGUUAUGACAUUUUUUACAAGGACAUUUAAUGUUGUCACCACUCAUACGAUUUUUUUGUGAACAUGCAUACUGAAUAAAGUUAUUCACACCGGUUAUAAAACUGGAGAGUAUACCCCCUCGUCCAUCCAACCUCUCAUACAUCCAACCACGCUUCAAAUUACUCAUGUUCCUAUAAAUUUUAGAACAAUCAAGACAAUCAGAAAUUUCUCUUUUAUAAGUUAUACAAUCUGGAUGUCCUCCAAAGAAAAGAUCAGAUUAAAAUACCUUUAUGAAAAAGUCCUCCAUUGGAAGAUCAGACGUCUUCUCUAUUGAAUGAUUGAUCUCCUCCUCCAUUGAAGUUUCAUAAGUAUGAGAUGAAUCAUGUCCAAUAUUGCUAUGAAAUUAUCGACUCAAACCUUGAUCAAAGUUUGGACCAGCUACAUCCAAAACCAUUUGUCGGUAUGGAUUAUCAUAUCCCAAUUCAAGUUGAGUGCCACCAUGCAAAUCAUUAACAUAAUACAUCUCAUCAAUAACAUCUUCUUCCCCUUGAUAUUUCCAAACAAAAUAGUUCUCAACAAAUCCAUAUUGAAAAAGGUGCUAUUUAACCAUUUCAACAUCUAUGUAUUUAAGGUUAUGCCAUUUUUUACAAGGACAUUUAAUGUUGUCACCACUCAUACGAUUUUCUUGUGAACAUGCAUACUGAAUAAAUUUAUUCACACCGGUUAUAAAACUGGAGAUCGUAUACCCCUCGUCCAUCCAACCUCUCAUACAUCCAACCACAGUUCAAAUUACUCAUGUUCCUAUAAAUUUUAGAACAAGCAAGACAAUCAGAAAUUUCUCUUUUAUAAGUUAUACAAUUUGGAUGUCCUCCAAAGAAAAGAUCAGAUUAAAAUACCUUUAUGAAAAAGAGUAUGUCUUUGCACUUUUUAAAUCAUUCGCCGCCUUUACUGUUAAUAUAAGUGUUCUUGAUCACUGUCUAGUAACUUAAAAUAUAUUAUUCUAUUAAUCCUAAGUUACAAGAAGUGCAAUAACAAGAAAAAGAUAAGUUGCAGGAACUGCAAUGACAAGGAAAGGAUCAUACUGAAAUACCUUUAUUAGUGCUCCUUUAUGUUAUUUUAUCACUGUCUAGUUAGUUUAGUAUGAUUUGACCCAACUAUAAUGUUAUUUUAAAAUAGUGUACUCUCAAGACUUAGAACUUGAAGAUUCUACUCCUUUCAAAGAUGCUCAAUUUAUGAAGGUCAUGCGGAAUUUAUGGGCAUGAACGACUCGACUCGGGGGUCUAAAUAACAUUAUGGAAUUCAUGUAUACGACUCUUCUCAUUCUCAUACUUACUUCCUCAAAACUUAAUUCAAAUCAAUAGGUGAUCUCAAAGGAUUCACAAUUGAACUCAAAAGCUUUCUUGAACUCUAUUCUUAACUCUCUCUUAGAUGUGAAUUUUGAAUUCACGAGUUAUGGUUCAUGAUAUGAAGGAUCUCAGUGAUAGUGUAGACUCAUGAAUACAUUCUCGUCACUCUCAUGCUCAGUUACUUGAAUCUUGAAACAAGUUAUUAGAAAUUGUAGAAGGCUACUCAAAAGACUCAAGGGAACUUUCUCAAAAAGACUCGAAAGAACUCUCAAGGCUUGUCUAUUAAUUCUACCUUAAAUUUGAAUUUAUGGAUUCAAGGUUACAAUUCAUGUUUUUGAUGAUUUCUAGAUAUUUAUAAGUCGUUUAGAGUAGUUAUAAUCAAUAGGAAAUGUUAGUACACUUUAGAAGGACUCAGAUGGGCUAAACGAUGGAAAAUGGGUGGGGGCAGGCGACCCUGGAGGGCAACUGGAACCUGCUGGUUGUUUUGGUUGGUAACACUCUGAGCCAAAAGUUGAAUAGCGUUCCAAAACUCGGCAUUCAAAACUUCUUGAUCUGGGACUCAAGGAGCUGCGUUAGCAUUGCGUGCAUUCACAUUCCUUCCGUAGGCUCUACGAGGAGGAAUGAUCUAAAAGCGCAUAACAUCGAGUUAGAAAUGAGGAAUUAGAUCAUACCUUACGCACGAUAAAAAUAUCAAGAAAGUGAAGUUUUCCUAAAACACUUCAUAGCCUCCCUCUCAUUAGAUGUGGUGCACUUCACACCCAUGAAAAUGACUCUACUUAGUGCGGCUUUUCAGACAUCCUAGGACUCUUAAACCUAACACUCUGAUACCAAGUUUGUCACGCCCUGAAGCUACCCCCAGAACGAGGACACGGGACCUAGGAUCAUGAGUGACCCCAAGCUAACCCUGCUGGCAUAUCAUAAGCAGACGAAAGGAAACGGAAGUAAAGAAAUACUGUGCGGAAGCUAAAUCAUCAUGUAAACUGAAAUGAUGGGGAAUACCCAUAAAAUAUCUGAAUAAAUGAAAGCUGAGAGUUUAACAACAAUUGAAAAGUCGAACUGAAACGCUAAAGUUGAAACUAACUAUGUCUAAAAAUAGUCUCUAACUGACUAGAAAUGCUGGGACAUGCCCCAGCUAAGUCUAGCAAAAAUUGAAGCUAACACUAAAAGCACAGGAAACAUGUCUAUCAUCCUCGAAGAAUGAGGACUGCCCAUUGAUACUGCUGAACUGGAGAUCGGGAACCGAUCUAUGCGUGAUCUGGAAGCUGAGAACCUGAACCUACAUCACGAGAAGAUGUAGCGCACAAUAUGCAUCAGUACUUGAAAGGUACUGAGCAUGCAGGAUAGAGUAAAACUAAAGAACAAUCAUAACUGAACCAAAGCUUAUAUCUGAGCAAUGAUAAGAGAUAAACAUGAUGCUAAACAGAGAAUACUAAACAUGAAGUAACUGAAUGCAAUGACCAAGUUUAUAACAUGCUGAGACUGAAUACUGAACUAUGAUUGAUAACGUGGUCAAUGCAAUAAAAUUUAACUGUAAGGGAGCUACUAAUAACCGACAUAAAACUACAUGAGCUAAAUGUGGAGUCCAAUGUAUACGCCCCAUCUAGAGGACCCAAUAUACCCUACCAGAGGUAUAGAGGCAUGACUAUCGUGAUCACUAAAAUGAUGCCCACAGAGGGGACUUACAACCUACGGGGCACGUAGUUCUGGGACUUGAGGGUGACUGACCCUAGUCCACUCGGUAUUAAGCUUAUCCCAAUUGAUUAUGUAAUUAACAAUUUAUGACUGAAUUUCUAUAAUACUAGAUAGCUCAAAAUUGACAUGCUAACUGAAAAUACAACAUUAAUAUGUUGAUAAUGAAACAUUCAAAUUUGAGGCAUGUAUAUCACAAAAUUUCUUACGUAGCAUGUGUAAUUCAUGAACUAAAAGAACUACAUAGCUAAGGUUCUAAAUUUAUGAAAGAAUCUACACAAAACGAUACAAAAACCAUGAUAAUCUGAUUUGGAUCAUUCUAAAAGCUAAAACACAACAAUUUCUAACAUUCAAGAAACCCUAGGUCUAGAUAAUAUUAAGGGAAUCAAGAUUUUGACUGAAAUCUAGGGACCAAAUGGGUGAAAGGAAUCUAGUAGUGAAAUCCCACUUUCCUAGUGACGAAUUCCAUGGAGAAAUCUUUCGAUUUUGGGGCUGGAACUGAUGAAAAUCGAUGUGUUCUUGAAUUAGGGCUGCUUGACUUUCUCCUUUGUUUUGCUCUAAGUUUUUCUUGAUUUUGGUUAAUAAUUGAUUAGGUUAGGUUCUAAUUAGUUUACUAGGCUAAAACUGACCAAAACCACGUAGUUUAGGGGUCCAACGCAUAAGGAAAAGACAAAACGACCCCUGGCUUAAAAGCUGUCGGGACAGAAAUCUGGGGGUUGACCCACGACCCUGGACCACAGACCAUGGCCUGACCUACGGCCCGUAGGUCCUGGCGUGGGUGGACCCUUAGCUAGAUUUUUGGACUGCUUCUGGGGAGGGCUACAGGUGGCCAUCCACGGACCACCAUCAUGGACUAUGGUGGGUUGCACCUGUAGCUUCUGGAAAUCUGCUAGUUGUAUGUUUCGGAUACAAGGUGUUACAUUAUGCGGGUUCUCUCGAACGGGAAAAGUUCAAAGUUGCUUUCCUUUGUAGGUUCUUUCCCCUUAGAUGAGGGAGGUAAAGGUGCUUGAAUUCAUCAACCUUCGUUAAGGAAGUACGAGUGUGAAGGAAUAUGCUUUGAAGUUCACACAAUUAUUUCGAUAUGCUCCUACUAUGAUUGCCGAUCCUAGGGCAAGGAUGAGUACUUUCGUUUCGAGUGUAUCCAAAAUGGUGGUUAAGGAAUGUCGUACCACCAUGCUUAUUAAUGAUAUGGACAUUUCUCGUCUCAUGGUUCAUGCUCAACAAAUUUAAGAGGAGAAAUUUAAGAAAAAUUCUAGGGAGGUCAAGAGGGCUAAAACCGGUUAUGGUAAUUUCUCACACUCAAGGUCCGAUGGACAUGGUCGUCCCAAGUUCGAACAAUGGUUUUCUGGUCAAGGUUCCUCAUUGUUCUUUCUAAGUUCAACCAAGAGAGCGUGUCUAACCCUGAGCCUAAAGGAGAAAGUGGUAGUGGGUCUUUAUUGCCUACUUGUACUAAGUGUGGAAGGAAGCACGAGGUCAAGUGUCUAGGGGAUCCAAUGCUUGGUUUGUUUGUGGCAAGAUGGACCAAGAGAUAAGAGAUUGUCCUUUAGUUGCUAAGAACAAUGGAGAAAUCGUCGAAGGACUCAACUUAAUCCUUCAUUCGGUCCUAGUGGUUCAGGUUCAAAUUCUCCCAAGCAUAACAGGUCCUAUGCACUUCAGACUCGUCACGAUCAAAAGGGUUCUCCCAAUAUGGUUACCAGUAAGUUGAAAUUCAUUAAACUUGAUGUUUAUGAUUUACUUGACCCUGGUGCUACCUUGUAUUUUUGACGCCAUAUGUGGCUAUAAGGUUUGAAAUUCUUUCGAAUGUGUUGCUAGAUCCCUUUUCUGUCUCUACUCCUGUUGGAAAUUCUAUUGUGGCUAAGAGGAUCAAUAUAAUGUGUCCCGUUUCCUUAUCCUGUAGAGUUACUCUUAUUGAUCUGGUAGAGCUUGCUAUUCUAGAUUUUGAUGUUAUCCUUGGUAUGGAUUGGUUGUAUUCAUGUUAUGCUUCUAUUGAUUGUAGAACUCGUGUAGUCAAGUUUCAGUUUCUAAAUUUACCCAUCCUAGAGUGGAAAGGGGGAAAUUCUAUGCCGAAGGGACAAUUUGUUUCUUGUAUUAAAGCUAGAAAGAUGAUUUCUAAGGGUUGCAUAUACCAUUUAGUUAGAGUGAAGGAUAUAGAUUUCGAGACCCCUACUCUUGAGUCGGUCCUCGUUGUUAAUAAGUUUCCAGAUGAUUUACCCGGUAUUCAUUCCUCCUUACUGAAUGGCUCCGACAGAAUUAAAGGAGUUAAAGCAACGAUUGAAAGAUUUGUUGGUUAAUGGUUUCAUCCGACCGAGUAUCUCCCCAUGGGGUGCUCUAGUUUUAUUUGUUAGAAAGAAGGAUGGUUCGCUCCAUAUGUGUAUAGAGUAUCGACAGUUUAACAAGGUGACCAUUAAGAAUAAGUAUCCUCUUCCAAGGAUAGAUUACUUGUUUGACCAACUUCAAGGGGCAAGUUACUUUUCCAAGAUUGAUCUUUGGUCGAGUUAUCACCUAUUGAGGGUGAAAGAAGAUGAUAUUCCAAAAAUGGCUUUCCGAACUCGGUAUGGUUAUUAUGAGUUUUUGGUAAUGUUGUUUGGUUUGACUAAUGAUCCGGCGACAUUUAUGGAUUUGAUUAAUAUGGUGUUUAGACAAUACCUUGACAUGUUUGUGAUCGUAUUCAUUGACGAUAUAUUGAUUUUUCCAGAAGUGAGGAUGAUCAUAUCAAUCAUAUUGUGUUGCAAGUCCUCAAGGAUGAACAACUCCUUGUGAUGUUUAGCAAAUGCGAUUUUUGGUUAAGGUCCAUGGCCUUUAUUGGUAAUAUUGUUUCGAGUAAGGGUUUUGAGGUAGAUCCUAAAAAGAGGAAUGUGUUUAAGAGUUGGCCUAGACUUCUAUCUCCUUAGGAUAUUAGAAGCUUCUUGGGUUUGGGUGGUUACUACAAAAGGUUUAUUGAGGGGUUUUCAUCGAUUGCCUCUCCAUUGACAACAUUGACUCAAAAGACGGUUAAGUUCAUAUGGUCCGAAGCAUGUGAAAAGAGUUUUUAGGAAUUGAAAGAUAGACUUACUUCUGCUCCAGUGUUGACUUUAUCGGUAGGGAUUGAUGGUUUUGUUGUUUAUUGUGAUGCCUUGAGAAUUGGUCUAGGAUGUGUACCUAUGAAAAAUGGGAAAGUUUUCACCUAUGCUUCAAGGCAACUUAAGAUUUAAGGAAAGAAUUACCUUACCCAUAACCUCGAACUAGCGACAGUUGUGUUUGCUCUUAAGAUCUGGAGACAUUCUUUGUAUGGUGUUCAUGUCGAUGAUUUUAGAGACCACAAGAGUUUGAAAUAUUUGUUUAAUUAGGAGGAACUAAAUCUUCGCCAAAGAAGGUGGCUUGAGUUAUUGAAGGAUUAUGAUAUGAGUGUUCUCUAUCACCUCGGAAAGGUGAACAUGGUGGCGGAUGCUCUUAGUCGACUAUCUAUGAAAGUGUUGCUCAUAUCGACGAUGAUAAAAAGAAGUUGGUUGGUUGUUCAUAGAUUGGCCCGGUUGGGUGUUCAGUUAGUGUACUCUACUGAAGGUAGGGUUAUGGCUCACAAUGGGUCACAGUUGUCUUUUCUGGCGGAUAUGAAAGCCAAGAAAGGUCUUCACCUGACUUUGGUUGAAUUAAAGGAAGCAGUGCUUAAAAAGUCGUUCGAGGCUUUCUCCCAAGGGGGAGAUGGCGUACUUAGAUAUCAAAGUGGUUUGUGUGUUGCCAAUAUAGAUGACUUGAGAAAGCAGAUUUUAGCAGAAGCCCAUAGUUCUUAAUAUUCCAUUCACCCGGGAUCUACCAAGAUGUACCGUGACUUGCGGGAGAUCUAUUGUUGGAAUGGGAUGAAAAAAAAUAUUGCAUAAUUUGUGGUUAAGUGUCCCAAUUGUUAACAAGUGAAAGUUGAUCAGAAACCGAGAGGUUUAUCUUAAGACAUUAGCAUUCCCACUUGGAAGUGGGAAUAUUUGAAUAUGGACUUGAUCAUUGGCUUGCCUCGUACCAGGUGACAACAUGACUCGAUUUAGGUUCUAGUAGAUCAGAUGACGAAAUCGGCUCAUUUUAUUCCUAUCAUGAUUUCUUAUUCGGCAGAGGACUAUGCUAAGUUAUACUUGAGAGAAAUUGUAAAUUUGCAUGGAGUGCCUUUAUCCAUCAUCCCCGAUCGUGGUACCCAAUUAACUUCUCAGUUUUGGAGAUCUUUUCAAAACGGUCUUAGUACUCGUGCUAAGCUUAGUACGGCCUUCAUCCGCAAACCGAUGGAAAUGAGGAGCGUACUAUUCUAACUUCGUUCGAUAUGUUGAGAAAAUGUGAAAUUGACUUCAAGGGUAAUUGGGAUGAUCACUUCCCUUUAUUUGAGUUUGCCUACAACAAUAGCUAUCACUCAAGUAUUGGUAUGUCUCUAUUUGAGGCUUUUUAUGGUAGGAGGUGUAGAUCUACUAUAGUUUGGUUUGAGGUGGGUGAAUUUGCUUUGUUAAGAUCCUAAUUGGUUCAUGAGGCUAUGGAGAUAGUAUGGGUUAUUAGAGAAGGUUAAAAACGGCUCAAGGUUGACAAAAGUCCUAUGCCAAUGUUAGAAGAAGAAAUCUUGAGUUUCAUUUGAAUGAUUGGGUUUACUUGAAAAUUUCACCCAUGAACGGUGUAAUGACACUACAAAAAAAUCAGCUUUUACCGACGAACGAAAUCCGUUGCUAAUCUAUGAUAUUCCGUCGCUAAACAUGAUUAGCGACGGAUUAGCGACGGAUUAUUGACUGUUACUAUAUCGCUCGUUGAUAAUCUCUUAGUGACAAAAAAUGUGUUCCGUCACAAAUUUAGCGACGGACUAAUCCGUCAUUAUAUUUAUAAAUUCGUUGCUAAUUUCACAAUUCAUUCCGUCAUUUUUAAUAAAUUCGUGACAGAUUUUUCGUUGCUAAUCCGUUGCAACAUAUUCCGUCAUUUGAGCCAGCACAUUUGGCGCAAAACAAGUUCGUCGCUGGUCCGUCGCCAUAUUUGUUGCUAAAUUUUUUCUUGUAAAUUUGAUUUAUUUUGUUUUCAAUAUGCUGCUGAUAUAAUUCAAAUUAAAUUGCUAAAUACCCCAAAAAUAAUAAACAUAUAAAAUAAUAUCAUAGAUGGUUCAAAAUAUAUAGAAUAUCGAAAUCUCAUAUUUUUGAUUCAAAACAUCCAAAACAAUAUAUCAACUGUUCUUAAAAGAACCUACAUUAAUCAAAUAUUUUUACUGCAGAAUUUGUACUUUCCAAAAAAGCAGACAAUAAAACAAAAAGGGAUACGAUUGUCACGUGAAACUAAUUAAGGAUCAACCUCGUCCUCAUUAGUAGUAGCUGAAGGAGGCACUAAAGGUGUCACUGUUGAUGGGUUAUCAAUGGGAGUACUCCCUUCUUGUACCCUCCCCAUAACAACGGGAAGAAAGUGAUUAGUAAGUGCAGGAAGCAUUUGCUUUACAAACUUAUCCAUAUUUGUUAUCGAUGUUGAUUGAGAAAUUGAAGGAAGUACUGAUGAUGAGGUAGAAAGUUUCUGCCCGUUGUAACUUUUGCUUUAGAAUCAAGAUCGUAUAUUCUUCUCUUCUUUUCUGCCCCCACAGCUUGAUAAAAUGCUUCACAUUGAUCAAUAUCAGCUUGAGACACUAUUUUUUCCCGCAAUAUUUCUUCAUAUUUUUCCUGUAUUAAGUAGAGGAAAAAUGAAAGCAUUAAACAUUGGGAAUAAAAUAUAUUUUGAAGGCAAAUACAAAAACAUGCAUAACCUUUUAAGCAUUAACAUUAAUGUACUAAUUGGGCCUUCAAAUUUCAUGCUAAGAAAUUUAACAAACUAUGGGAUCUAAUAUAUUUCAAUUGGAUCAAGUGAGCAUAUUGUGAGAGAUCAUGAGGGCACUUAGUUGCUAAUUAUGGCAACAACUAGACAGUCGAAGAACAAACCAUCUAUAAAGUGCAAGAUCCUAAUAGGAAUGUGUUUUCGCUGCCUGUUGUCAAGAAAUGGAUCAGCAGCCCAAUUUGGAGAACCAGAAUUCAUUUAGUGUUCAUAAACAGAUGCAUUAUCCAUAGAGAAUGAUCAACUUCAUACGAACAUACCAACAUUUCAUCGAAAUAAAGAAACAGAAGGAAGAAUCAGACGACAGAUCCGCAGAAGUUCCAUUUCAUGUAUAUGAACCAUAUGAUCCCAACUAAGAAAACAACUCAUUUCAUACCUAAACAAAAGUAAUACACACUAUAGAUAUCAAUAUUUUCUGUUUUGAUCUUUCACUGUUCAAUUAUUAGUAUUCAACACAAAUUGCUUAAACCUUUCAAUUUCACCAAAGAACGGAAUUUUCAAAAGCUCCUUAGCAGUUGGCGUGUCGUCUGGAUUCUCUCUAAAAAAAGAAAGAACAAUCUCCUCAAAAUCCCUUCCUCAAACUCCCGCGAAAACAUCCUUUUCUUUUGUUUAGCAAAAUCCAUCACUUUCUUGAGUAUCUUAUCCCUCUUGAUCAUCAUAUUUUUAAGUGAUUUUGGAAAUUUCUUCAUAACUACAUAAGAAGCUUCUACAAUAUAAUAAUAGUGUUUUUUGGCAAAAAAAUAUCCUUACACUAAACGUAUAAUUUAAGGUGCAUCCUUGAACUAUGCUUGUUAACAAAAAGCAUCCUUAAAAGUGUAAAAAAUUUGGCAGUUUUCAUCCUGCUGUAAUGCUCCGGCAAAAAACUAACAGCACCUACCCUUUGGCUACAACUCACAUGAAUUUUCGAUCCUAAAAUCCCCAAAUUACACAGAAAGAAGGUCGAGAAGAGAAUGCUAAACAAGAAAGGAAACCCCCUAUACAGAAUUGGAGGCCAAAAUACAAGCUGACGAUCAAGCAAGAAAGACAGUUGUAGAAUGUGUAUCCUGUUCAGCUAACACAUCAGGUUUAAAUGGAGCAACAAAUCAAAUUGAGAGUCUUAUUGCAAAUAUUUCGGUAACAAACAGGUUUAAUGGAUUGAUUGAUACAGCUAAUACUCAAAUGUCCUCAAACUUUCAUGCCCAAAUCUUCUUUCUCAAGUGUCUCUGAUUCUAUGCACUGUUUAGUUUCAGUUUUUACUCUUUCUGACCAAUACCAUUAUAUCUACAUUGGGUGAUAAACAUCAAUUAUCAAUGGAGAAGAUACUAUAGAGGGCAUGGAAUAGUUGGCAUGCUUACACAAAUAGCUAGAUUACUUCUACCUGAGGACUUGCCACUACCUCUUCCUUGAGCCAUACCUAUAUACAAAUAUAAUAGUGUUGUUAAAUCAAAUCAGAGAGAAACAACAAAUUAAGCAUAAUGCAUAAUAAUGAGAACUAUUGAUGCAACAGAAAUUAGAGUGAAACAGUUAUCACUAGUACAAAAUAAAGUUUAGCUACCUGAGUGAAAUACUUUUCAAUUAAGUGAAAGUGUGCUAAAGUAUUAAAAUUGCCGCUGAUGUAAGCUUGCAGAUAAACAGAAAGAACUGAUACCUGUAAGUACAAGAGUGUAAUAGCUAUCAUUGACUUCUAUCAGAAGAGAUCAUAUAAAUUAAGGAACAAAUUAUUAAAAGAACCAUGGACUUCUAUUAGAAGCUUUACACAAAGAAUUAGUAGAAAUCUGUAGAAAAUUUGAACACAACUACAAGAUACUAGGGAACUGGAGAAACCUUUUGAAAGGCUGAAAUGCUAAAUAUUAUCAGAUCAUAUGAUUUUGAUAAGGAAUCUGGACCUGAUGGUUACACUGUGCUCAUCAAAGUAAUAUUGAUAUAUAAACCAUUUACAUCAGAACUAUCACAUGAUUAAGUCAAGUAAUGUCAUUCAUUUAAGAAAAUGAUUUGUUGAGCUCAACAAUUUAGAAAUCGAGAAGGCACAUAACACACUUCAGCUCAAGAAUUAGUAGAGAUCUGUUGAACACACAUUGUUAAAAGUCGAGAGUUAAUUGAUUUUAAUAUGGUAUAUCUUGGAUGAGUUGCCUAACAUUUAGCAUGACUUAGUCAUAGACUCAUAGUUAAAGUCAGCUCGAAUUUCUUAAUCUUUACGCUAAGCAAACAAGCUCAUCUACAAUGUGGAGUGUGUAUUGUUCUUUUGUAAAUCUUCCUUUCGAGUAGAUCAAUCUGAGCAUUGUUGGCAAGCUACAAAGUGCUCAAACUAAGGAACCUCUCAUGAACCCACCCCUACCCUAUUAAUUGUUUUAAAAUAUUAACUAUGUCCCGCCCUGCCCUGCCCUGCCCUACCUUGCGUUGCCCCGCCCUGCCCCAUUAAACCUUUGCCCUACCCUGCCCCAUUAAACCUUUACCCUGCCCUGUUCUUGACCUUCCCCAUUGCCAUCCCUAGUAAACUAACAUUAUUUAUUACCAGAAAACUUAUCCAACCAAAAUUAUAAACAGAAAAAUUAAACCAACACAUUUUUCUGGAGAAAAAAAAGCUACUGUGGAGUUAAGGGAGGGGGAGAAAAAGAGUGAUACCUUUUAGUGAAACGAAUCAGGUCGACAACCACUAGUCACAAACAAAAAAAAGCUAUCUGCAGUAUAAAAUAAAACAUAAAUCAGUCUGCAAUUUACAUCGCAAAAAAAAAGUAAAUCAGUGUUGAAAUAAGACAUCAACACUAAGUACGCUGCUGCAGAAUUGGAGCUGUUAGAUUAAAGUACACUUGGUUAUAAAUGCAAGAGAGUAACUACAUUGUGCAAAUUUGUUUCUCGUAAGAUUGGUGUCACGAGGCACACUCGUAAUGCAGAAAGAGCAGGCAUAUUAAAAUAAACUUAUUUCUUGGUUAGCUCCAAAGGAAAUGAAUGUUGCUUUCUUUCCGUGUUUAGUUAUCCUAUUAUGCGCUCUAGUAGUAACAAACAGGUCGUCACUCACACGUUGAAAACCAGAGGUGUCCAUGUCUCGAAAUAUCUUACUAGUGCACUAGAAAGAGACAAUAAUAGUGUUGUUGCAGACAUAAGUGGUGACACUAGUAAGUUUGAGUUAGCAGCAACCAAGGAUGUUAUAGUAGAUGUUGAGAAAAAUCAUAGAGGAAAUGGGGCAAAUGGGGGUGGAAGUAUUGCUCAUCAACCACGUAUUCAAACACUGCACAAAAUCAUUAAGUUGUAAUGCCAAAAGCAGCCCUCUAUCUCAAAUGUUUCAGUUUUCAUCAAGUCUCCAGAGAAGAAAACUGGAACCUCAAACACCGCACAAAAUGAUUGAAUCUUUUCUUAAAAAAUCCUAUUUUCAGUACACCCAAACUUCUAAGCUCCUAUUUUCAAAAAAUUUCAACCUUACUUACCGAAAACUGGAACCUCACGAAACCCCAUUUCCCCAAAACUGGAACCUCAAAUACUGCACAUAAAUCGGGUUUGAUUUUGCACAACAACUAUUGUCCCCAAAACAAAAUACAUUACUAAACUAAACAAUUAAUUGAUUGAACUAAAAGAGUACUUACUUGUUAAUAGAAAAUUUACUUUAAACUUUGAAGGCAUAUAGAGCUAAUGAAGAUAGAGGAAAAAAAGAGUUAAAAAGAGUGUUCAUCCAUUGAAGAUGGAGAGAUGAAGAAGAAUGUGCUCACUUCAUCGAUCAGAGAUGGAGAGGUUGAGAGCUCACUUCUCAGAUGAGAGUUCCAUUAGAGAGGUUGAGAGCUCACUUUCUUCAGAUGAAAGUGUAAAUGUUGAAAUGAAAUUUUUCCCUAGAACAUAUGACAUAAAUAAAUUUUGCAACGGACUCAGCAACGGAUUGUAACAUUCGUCGCUACCAAAUAAAGAUAUUUAUAUAGAUUAAAUUCUAGCGACGGAUUUUUCCGUCACUAUAUAAUAUAUUUUAUAAAAAAUAUAUUUAAAAGUUUAGCGAUGAAUCUUUCAUCACUAAUUUCGUAGCUAAAUGUUAAUUAAAUUUCUCACGACUAAUUUGUUGUUAAAUCCGUAGGAAAUUUUGGGCGCCAAACUUUCGCGCUGAUAUUUAGCGACGUAAAAAAUAUUCCGUCACGAAUCCGUCACUAUAUCAUAACUCAAAAAAAAUGUUUGUAAUUCUAGCAACAAAAUGGUAAUUCCGUUGCUAAUCCGUCGUUAUUUAGUGAUGGAAUAUAAUUCGUUGCUAAAAUCUGUCGCUAAAUGCUAUUUUUUUAGUAGUGUGAGGUUUGGUCAGAAAAGAAAGCUUAGUCUCCAAUAUGUAGGCCCAUAUAAGAUUUUGAGACGUAUUGGUAAAGUUGCUUAUGAACUUGAAUUUCCUAAUGAAUUGGCAUCCGUGCAUCCAGUUUUCCAUGUCUCCAUGUUGAAGAAAUGUGUUGGUGAUCCGAAAAUUAUAGUUCCCCUAGAAGAUUUGGGAGUUAAGGAGAAUCUUUCUUAUGAGGAAGUUUCGGUUGAGAUUUAAACCGGCAAGUCAAGAAGAUGAGAAAUAAAGAAGUCGCUUUCGUAAAAGUUUUGUGGAGGCAUAAAUUAGUUGAGGGUGCUACUUGGGAGGCCGAGGCCGAUAUGAUGUCCCGUUAUCCUCAUCUAUUUCCUUCUACCGCUACUCUAGCCUGUCGUAUUGAGUUCCUCAUGGUUUACUUUCUUGGUAUCAUGUGUCUUAGAUAUUCCCAUGAUUUCCUCAUUUAUGCAUGUUCAUGAAAAAUCGUAUGUUUUGAGAAAAUGAGUCAACUUGAUUGAUUUCUACAUAUUUAUGUGCAUUUCAGUAUGAGUUGCAUAUAGACUUUGUGAUAUGAUUUUUUGAACAUGCUAGCUUGGAGUUGAUGUUUCCUCCUCUGAUAUGUGCAUUUAUGUAAUUUCAUGCAUGUUGGGCUGUUAGGUUUUAAGUUCCUACCCUCCUUAUGAUGUCUUGAAUCUUAUUCGAGGACGAAUGAUCCCAAGGGGAAGAUAAUGUAACACCUUGAAUUCGAAAAGAUAGAAAAAAUUCAAUUUUUCAGAAAUCUAUGCCUGUUUCGACGGUGCCAUCCAAUACCCCUGGAACGACCCACAGACUGUAAGUCAGGUCCGUGUUUGGCUACAUUAUUAUUUUCAAAAUGUCAAGUUUUCUGUAUUUUUCAAUGGUUCACCAGGACGGUCCGUUGUCCAAUUUGAUAAACGCUCAACUACACCUUAUCCAAUACUUGGUGUAGGCGAUCAUAAUCUAUUAUAAAACCCAACAAAGAGUUGGGGUCGAACCCACAUGGAGAAGUUCAAAUUCAAUCACAAAGUUAUAAAUGUGGUCUAAUCGGUUAUAGAAAUAGAAAUUGUAGAAAUUAUUUGAAUAAAUCAAAGGGAUUGACACAGAUGUCAGAUGGGGGGAUUUAGUUUGUCAAUUAGUAACUAUAACAAUUAUGAAUACAGGGGAAUCAGUAAGUAGAGAAAGGAGUUCUCGGGGAUGUGAUCGAUUAUAAGCUAAUUUCUCUAUAUAGGUACUUUUAGUUUACUAACAAUUGCUGAACCUCUGUGGGUAGGCUAGACUAUAGAUGCAAUAGCUUUCUCUAAAACAAUUAUUACGAUUCAAGCGAGUUCUCUCGAACCUCGACAAGCAUACCACUAUAAGCUGCCCAAUACCUCAAAUUAUCUACUCUCUCGAGCUAGAUAAGUAGGACUGAGUUAAGAUUCACUCUCUCGAGUUGAAACCACAACAAUCCAAUCACUACAAUCAUCAAUUGAAAACCUUAGUUCUAAAACCUCUUUCUCAAGCAAGCCCUAAACAUUAAGUUAGAAUUUCAUUUGCAACUACAAUUCAUAGAUUAAUACAGAACUAUCAAUUGAAACCACUUCAAAUAAGCAUUUAAAUCAGUGAAAUAUAAUACCCAUAAGCUAAUUAAAGCAAAUAAUCACAUGAUCACACCCCAAGAAUUGGGGUUUUAGCCACACAUCACGAAAAGGAAGUAAAAUUUACCAAUAAUGUUAUCCAUGAACUGGGUAAUGGUUUCCAAGUCUCUACAAUGCUUCAAAUCAACUCAAUUAAAAAGCCCAAUUGAAAAUUCCUCAAAACCACGUAAAAUAAAGUUUCCAAAGAAAGCUCUAAGUUCUACAAUGGAAAAUUACUCAGGAAAUAACUGGAUUCAAGACUGGAUUCCAGAGUUCUCUCCUUUUCUGCCUUUUGAAAUCCAAUUUAUAGUUUCCCAAAUUAUGUCUUCCAGGACCAUUAGACGAAGUUAGUCAAGAAUUGUCAACCAAGUCGGCGAUGCGCCAAUGGUACCCUUCAAUCGUCGAUUUUCCUUAAAUCUUUAGCCUCAGGGUUCUGUGACUUUAAGUGAUCAGGAUCAAGGUCGUCGAUUCGUUCGGCGGUCCGCCGACUAUCCAUGUCCAUCGCCAAGAUGGUUCUUCCCCAGGGCUGGCACGCUGGAACUUUUGGUGAGAUGAAGAACCACUCGGCGGUUUGCCGAGUAGUCUUGGCGAUCACCAAUAUAUCCUUUCUUCGACUUCUUCAGCUUUCUACGCUCUUUUUUGCCCGUUAAUGUCCUUGCCUUGCUUCUUAGCCUUCAUUGCUGCGAAUCAACACCUUAACAUCAAGUUAAAGCAUAAAUUAGGCAUUGAGGACAACAAAACUAUGAAAACAAAGCCCUAAAUGAGUCAAAAUAUCAGACUCAUGACAAUUCACGAGUUGUAAGUAGGUAUUGUAGGUAAGCCCCAUACACAGAGAAAAUUCAGGAUCAAAAGCCAAGAUCCACGGUCGGGGUUAAUAGACCAUCGUUGGACCCACUGUAUGUUGAUGAGGACCAUCGAUCAAGGCCUCAAAGCCUAGCCUCUGAUCCAAACGACGCUCUAACAGGACUGUCCAUGGAUUGACCAACGAACCCUCGAUCCGGCCGUCGUUGGUGUCAACAAUUAUUUUAAGAGGGGCAUUUGUGUCUUUUCUUAAUUAUUCUAGCCUAAUACUAUGUUAUUUUACCCUGCACCAAAAACCCUAUAUAAGUGUUUUUAACCCCAAAGUUCCCCAAUUGAAAUCAUUCUCUCAGAUUUAUAAAAGAAGAGCAAGUCUUCCUCUCAAAUAUUUCUCUCUCUAGAAAGCUUGAAUAAGAAGGGUCCAAUCUAGAGUUUCAAGUCAAUUCUCCUAAUCCUCCAUUGAAUUUAAGCAAUUGGUAUUAAGGUGUAAUGGUUUUCAUCCAUGAAGCCCUUUCCUCCAUGGAUUUCCCAACUUCUUCAAUUUUAGAAGUUAGAAAUCCCAAAUUGAGUUAGGGGUUUUCUUCUAUGUUACAGGUUCUUUUAAUUAUUGAUUUAAUUGAUUGAUCUAUGAUCUUUUAUGUAUGAAUUUAGUUAAUAUCAUGUUUUUAUGAUGAUCCGUCGAUGAACCCAUGUAAUUCCAUCUUUUCCAAAUUAUGAUCAUAUGAUGUAGGUUCUGGAUUAUGAAAGAAAGGUUUAUGAAAUCAAGCAUGUUCUUAUGAAAUUUAUGUAGAUGUUUUAAGGAUGUUUGAGAGUGAAGUAUCAAUGUUGUUUUUAUGGUUGUGUUGUUGAAAUGAUUUCUCAUAUACACAUGAAAUCUUGAUUGUGAUAGGUUUUCUCAUAUGAUAAGGGUUAUUAGGGUUGGAAGGUCUUCUCACCUAAAAUAAAACAAUGUUAAAGAGUUAUUCUAAUGUUGAGGCAAGAGAUGAUUACCCAUGCCCUCUAAUUGAAAGACAAGAGGCGAUUACCCAUGUCACAUGAUGUAAGGACAAGAGGUGAUUACCUAUGUUCCUUUAAGAGCUAAGUCGAAUAUGAUAAAAACUAUUCCCUGGAAGUUAAGCUUAUUAUCAAGUGGACAAAUGGUGAUUACCCGUGUCCCAUAAACUAUGUGCUAACAUAGGAUUGUCUAGAUAGACAUUAGGUAGUUGAUCCACAUAAGCUAGAAGUUCAUGGUCCUUACCUUGGCAAAUAGGACAACCCCUUUUCGGUAUGGGCCACACCGGAUUCUAUGUUGAUAGCUCACAUGGUCUUAUAUGUCGGUUAAGGCUACUUUCCACAAGCAAGCUAAGAUGAACUAAGGUUACUUCAAGAAGUAUCUUACGUAUGUUUUAAGUUGUUGUUCACUUGUAUUGAUUAUGUUUUACGGCUUAUGUGUUCUAACUUUCAAGAUUCAUGUGUUAGCUUGAUCAUUGCAUGCUUAUGAAGAUGUCCCUUUUAGCAUGACUUUAUAUGUUUUUAUGCAUGUCUAUCAUACUUGGUACAUGUUUGUACUAAUGCAUAAUCUUGCCUACAUUUCCUCAAAUGUAGGGUCAGACAGUCCGGGUUCCAAGUUUUGUGGCUAGAGUUCUUUGAGGAGAAUCUAAUCUUUGGUGAGUCCUCAUGCUUUGAGAACCGGACAUUUAUUAUUUUCAGUCCUUCCUUACUUUCAGUUUUGAACAUGAUGUUUGGGCUACACCCAGAUUCAUUCGUAUUUACUAGACGAAUUUGAGACGAUGUUUAGAUUUCUGGUUUUCUCUAUAAAACUUUGCUAUGUUGAAACUAUCAUUUUAGUCUCUUUUAUUCUGUUAUCUUGUAUGACGAAAGCUAAAUGGCUUUUAUGGGGCCUCUCGGGGUCUUAUACGCCAUGUUAUGCCUUGAGGCUACUUUGGAUCGUGACAUCUAUAAUUUGUUUAUGUGAUAUAAAUUUGGGGUCUGCGAUAUCGGUAACUUAGUUUUAAUCAAAUUUUAGUUUUGUCCUUAUGGGUCGAAAUUAAACUUUUAGAGUUAGUUUGGGGUAUUGGUUAGAAGUAUAGUAAUACGUGUGCCAUUAGAUUCAUAUUCUUAUGAGGAUUACAUAUUUGAUAGAUUGGAAAGGCUUUGAAGAUUUACAAAAAGAAAAGAUGAAAUGUUGAAGAACUUGUGGCACGUGUUUGACUUUCGAGGUAUGUUAAGACUUUCUAAACUUUGUUGAGGAAUAUUUUCUAAUUAAAGAUUUAAAAUAGGAUAGACAACGAGAAAGGGCAAAAUAUGGGGGUCUCGUACCAAUGGUGUGACGGGCAUUGGAACGAGUACCAAUGUUAUUAAAGGAAAGGUUUGUAACUAUAAUAUGAUAGAUUGUAAUUCGAGAAUGCCAAAACAUAUGGGCAUUAGAAGAUGUAUUUAGUGACUUGUUUUCUUUUGUGUGGUUGUGUUUCUUUAUUGGAUCCGUAUAUUUUUGAUAAUUAACGAC
rnacentral:lncRNA from 1 species